UACGUAGGUGACAAGCGUUGUCCGGAUUUACUGGGCGUAAAGAGCGCGCAGGCGGUCGAUCAAGUCGAGUGUGAAAGCCCCCGGCUCAACUGGGGAGGGUCAUUCGAUACUGAUCGACUCGAAGGCAGGAGAGGGUAGUGGAAUUCCCGGUGUAGUGGUGAAAUGCGUAGAUAUCAGGAAGAACACCCGUGGCGAAGGCGGUUCUCUGGGACGGUACUGACGCUGAGACGCGAAAGCGUGGGGAGCGAACAGG
rnacentral:rRNA from 1 species